GUGUCUGGAAAAGAAAGGAAAAAGGGAGAUUUGUCGCAUCUCCAGACUCUGCUUAUUUAGUGCCUUGCCCCGGGCAGUAUCUGCUUUCCUGCGUGGCAAAGGAGCCCCGGGUGCCUCAGUUGCACAGACUUAAUCUAGGAGGGGAGCCCGAGGAUCAGGGGUAACACCGACUUUCAACACAGUCAAAGAACACGGGCAGGACUGAAGCAGACAGUGAGCUGAUUUACGCAUAGGACUGAUCCUGUUUCAAAGUAUGUUCAGAUAUUGUAUUCAGCAGACCUCCCCCAGCCCUGCCUGGCAAGGACUUCAAAACACAGCAGCAGAAGUGCGGCAACCAGAGAGAGUUUGCAUCCAGCUGCGAGCUCCCAGUCCCCGAGCACACCUCUCCCACGGCGCUGAGCCAGCUGGGGGGCAGCAGCAGCAGCCUGGUGACCCUGGGCACCGCCGGGGGAAGGCACGGAGCGGAGGCACCUGUCGCCUUUAAGAAGUGUGAAAGGCUGGCAGAGAAAGCCAGUGACAUCAUGGCAGCCUGCACGGUCCCCUGUAGGCUUUGCAUAUUAUAUAUAGAUGUUGGCUUUUGUUGUGUGGGUUCGUUUUGUUUUUAAAGGCACAAGACCCUUCCUUGGCAGAGCCAGGAAGUAAGCCCGGAAGGCUACCGCCUUGUAACCGCAAAACUGGGGUUAGGGCUAGAUCCUCUCUUAAGCCUCGCAUCACAGAGAAUCACCUACUGGUUGUAUUGGUUGUAUAUUAAUACAUCUGUAAGCAGGAGCACCAUCGAGCACAGGAAACUUUACUCAGUUUAGUCAGAAGUACUGCUGCGAAGCGUUAUACCAUUUAUUAGAGGCGUCGAUGUGGACACGGCUCCAACAACAGGUGUGCUGCAACAGCAAGGAGGGAAAAGAUGUCUCGAAACAGAGCCUUAACCUAUGCAUAUCCAUGAAACCUACUUGCAUAUCAGGUAGCUUUUUUUUUUUUUCCCUGGGAUCUGUCACUGGGAGCUGACAUAAGCAAUCCACACCUGUGCUCCUGGCAGUUCCUCACGCCACCUUGCCCUACGAAUGUACUGGCGACGUGGCAGUCGGAGAGCAAACGAGGAGAUUAAAAAAAAAAAAAAAAAGAAA